GACGAACGCUGGCGGCGUGCUUAACACAUGCAAGUCGAACGGAAAGGCCCUGCUUGCAGGGUACUCGAGUGGCGAACGGGUGAGUAACACGUGGGUGAUCUGCCCUGCACUUCGGGAUAAGCCUGGGAAACUGAGUCUAAUACCGGAUAGGAGCCAUUUUUAGUGUGAUGGUUGGAAAGUUUUUUCGGUGUAGGAUGAGCUCGCGGCCUAUCAGCUUGUUGGUGGGGUAAUGGCCUACCAAGGCGGCGACGGGUAGCCGGCCUGAGAGGGUGGACGGCCACAUUGGGACUGAGAUACGGCCCAGACUCCUACGGGAGGCAGCAGUGGGGAAUAUUGCACAAUGGGCGCAAGCCUGAUGCAGCGACGCCGCGUGGGGGAUGACGGCCUUCGGGUUGGAAACUCCUUUCGCUAGGGACGAAGCUUUUUGUGACGGUACCUAGAUAAGAAGCACCGGCUAACUACGUG
rnacentral:rRNA from 1 species